rnacentral:rRNA from 1 species
CGCGAAAGUAGUUGAGCUAAGUAAUCUUAAUUGUUAGAUUUGUUGUAUGUGGCAUAAUAUGUUAAAAUAAUUACUUAGGGGUGAUAGGCUUCUCAAAUCUACAUAUAUCUCGAUACUUUAGAUAAACAUGUAGUGUUUAGACAAUUAAGUAGUGAUAAGGCUGCUUAAUAUCAUGAAUUAAUUAUAAUAUUAUUAUCUUAGUUUAAUCGUUAGAUAUUUUCAUAUUAUAUCAUUAUUUUAUAUUUUUUAUGUUAAGUAUAAAGUAACAUUAAAAUAAGUUUAUAUGUUAAUAAUGUAACUAUUAGUAAAUUAGAAGUUAUUAAAAAUGAACUCGGCAACAUACCUUUCAACUGUUUAUCAAAAACAUAGCUAUAAGGAUAUAUUUGUAGUGAUUUCUGCUCAAUGAUUUAUUAAAUAGCCGCAGUACCCUGACUGUGCAAAGGUAGCGCAAUAAUUUGACUUAUAAUUGAAGUCCUGUAUGAAAGAAUACAUGGGGGGUACCUUUAUUUUUAAUAGUUAUUGAACUUAAUAAGUAAGUGCAAAUUCUUAUAUUUAAAUGAUAGACGAGAAGACCCUAGAAAUUUUUAUAAUUGGUCUAAUUUUUUUUUGUUGGGGCAACAAGGUAACAAGAAAUUUACAUUAUUGAACAAGAAUAUUUGUAUGGUAGAAUAAAUUACUCUAGGGAUAACAGCGUAAUAUUAAAAAGUUUGCGACCUCGAUGUUGGACUAGGGAACAAUUGCUUAGAA